CUUGGGGGACGCAGCAGUGUGUAAUCUUGGGCAAUGGGGCGAAACCGAGAUGCAGCCGACGCCGGGUGAGCGACGAAGCCCCUUGGGGGUGUAAAGUUCUUUGGGCGGGGACGAUGAUGCCGCUACAAGCAGAAGAAGCUACCUCUAACUCCGCAGCAGCAGUAACGCUAAUACGUCGACAGCAAUCGUUAUUUGGAGUUACUAAACCUAAAGCGGGCGUAGGUGUUAGUGUAAGUUGAAAGUGAAAUCUCCAGGCUCAGGUGGGAGGGUGCGCCGAAAACUGGCCGGCUAGAGUGAGGUCCCAGGAAUUGGAAUUUGUAGGUGUAGCGGUGAAAUGGGUAGAUAUCAGGAGACGAGGGGGAUGCCAGAACGGCUUUCUGUGGCCCGACUGACGCUGAGGCAUGAAAGCAUCAAGAGCAAACAGGAUUAGAUACCGUGCUAGUUCAAAACCUUAACCAUUCAGAGUUGGUGUUCCCCUUCAUCGGGUCCGUGCCAAGCUAACGCGUAAGUGUGCCGCCUGGAGACGC
rnacentral:rRNA from 1 species